UACGUAGGGUGCGAGCGUUAAUCGGAAUUACUGGGCGUAAAGUGUGCGCAGGCGGCCGAGCAAGUCGAGUGUGAAAGCCCCGAGCUUAACUUGGGAACUGCGCUCGAAACUACUUGGCUAGAGUGUGGCAGAGGGAGGUGGAAUUCCACGUGUAGCGGUGAAAUGCGUAGAGAUGUGGAGGAACACCGAUGGCGAAGGCAGCCUCCUGGGCCAACACUGACGCUCAUGCACGAAAGCGUGGGGAGCGAACAGG
rnacentral:rRNA from 1 species